AUACGUAGGGGGCGAGCGUUGUCCGGAAUUACUGGGCGUAAAGGGUACGCAGGCGGCCAUGUAAGUCAGAUGUGAAAGACUAGGGCUUAACCUUAGCAAGCAUUUGAAACUGUGUGGCUUGAGUUAAGGAGAGGAAAGUGGAAUUCCUGGUGUAGCGGUGAAAUGCGUAGAUAUCAGGAGGAAUACCAGUGGCGAAGGCGACUUUCUGGCCUUAAACUGACGCUGAGGUACGAAAGCGUGGGGAGCAAACAGGAUUAGAUACCCUGGUAGUCCACGCUGUAAACGAUGAGUGCUAGGUGUCGGGUGUCAAAGCUCGGUGCCGCAGUUAACACAUUAAGCACUCCGCCUGGGGAGUACGUUCGCAAGAAUGAA
rnacentral:rRNA from 1 species